GACGAACGCUGGCGGCGUGCUUAACACAUGCAAGUCGAACGGAAAGGCCCUGCUUUUGUGGGGUGCUCGAGUGGCGAACGGGUGAGUAACACGUGAGUAACCUGCCCUUGACUUUGGGAUAACUUCAGGAAACUGGGGCUAAUACCGGAUAGGAGCUCCUGCUGCAUGGUGGGGGUUGGAAAGUUUCGGCGGUUGGGUAUGGACUCGCGGCUUAUCAGCUUGUUGGUGGGGUAGUGGCUUACCAAGGCUUUGACGGGUAGCCGGCCUGAGAGGGUGACCGGCCACAUUGGGACUGAGAUACGGCCCAGGCUCCUACGGGAGGCAGCAGGGGGGAAUAUUGCACAAUGGGCGGAAGCCUGAUGCAGCAACGCCGCGUGCGGGAUGACGGCCUUCGGGUUGUAAACCGCUUUCGCCUGUGACGAAGCGUGAGUGACGGUAAUGGGUAAAGAAGCACCGGCUAACUACGUG
rnacentral:rRNA from 1 species